rnacentral:rRNA from 1 species
GACGCUGCGGCGUGCUUACACAUGCAAGUCGACGGAAAGGCCCCGACCCUUCGGUGGGGGUGGCGUCGAGUGGCGAACGGGUGGAGUAACACGUGGGUGAUCUGCCCUGGUACUUCGGGUAUAAGACUUGGGAAACUGGGUCGUAAUACCGGAUAGGACCGAUGGUUUAGUGUCUCAUGGUGGAAAAUAUGUUUUGGUGCAGGAUGAGCUCGCGGCCUAUCAGCUUGUUGGUGGGGGUAAUGGCCUACCAAGGCGUCGACGGGUAGCCGGCCUGAGAGGGUGGACGGCCACAUUGGGACUGAGAUACGGCCCAGACUCCUACGGGAGGCAGCAGUGGGGAAUAUUGCACAAUGGGCGCAAGCCUGAUGCAGCGACGCCGCGUGGGGGAUGACGGCCUUCGGGUUGUAAACUCCUUUCGUUAGGGACGAAGCCGCACCUUUUUUUGGGUGUGGUGACGGUACCUUUGUUAAGAAGCACCGGCUAACUACGUG